CCACCUUUCCAGCAAUCAUAACAUCCGUAGCCCUCAUCAAACCAUCAGGAAGAGAGUGACGGCAUCCAUACAAGUUGUCAAACUGUUACAAAACCAUAGAUCAAAUGGCAAACAGAAACUUCAUUAGAUCAAAACAUGCUACGGUACCCCAAAAUACAAGAACCAAAUUCACAUCAUCGUAGUUUAAAACAACCACAAACACCUAACUUUGUUAAAUCCAAGAUCAAACUAUGCUAUAGUACCAAAAUUACAACCAAAUUCACAUCAUAGUUAACUACAACCACACAAACGUAUCUUACAGAAAGUAAAUGACAUAUCCAUUUAUCAAAUCUAAUAUCUACACCCAAGCUAUAUCAUUUGAACACAAUUACCCAUACCAAACUUCAUUCAGGACAUUUAUCAAACAAUAGGCAGAUCCAAAACGAAAUAAUAAAUUUCACACUACACAUAACUCAUUCUCACAAAACUCCUUUCAACACAUUCAUCAAAUAGUUAGCAGAUCCAAAACCAAACACUCAAUUUCACACACUCAACCUCACUAACAUACAACAACACAAGUCAGAUCUGAAUCAACACAACCCCAGAUUAUUAAAUAUUAAAAAGUAAACGAAAAUAAGCAGAUCUAGGUUUUGAAAAAACAAACCUUGCUCUUGGUAACAGAGUCAUUGACAUUAAUAGCAGGGAACAAAAGAGUUCCACUAGCUUGCAUCUGAUAAAGCCUCUUAACACCAGUAGUAGUCUCUUCAGAAACACCAACAAGUCUAUCCUUCAUCUUACGAUACCUCUUAGGAUCAGUCUUCAACCCAUCUCUAAUGAUAGUAAGCACAAGCUGAAACUCAGCGUUAUCAGUAGAACUUGGAUCAGGAACCUCACCAGUUUUCUCAUAAAGCUCUUCAGCCUUAACA
rnacentral:lncRNA from 1 species